rnacentral:rRNA from 1 species
UAGACAGUCGGCGACUAAGCGAAAACAUUAAGCCAUCCACCUGGGGAGUACGGCCGCAAGGCUGAAACUCAAAGGAAUUGACGGGGGCCCGCACAAGCGGAGGAACAUGUGGUUUAAUUCGAUGAAACGCGAGGAACCUUACCCGGGCUAGAACGCCGAUGGGAUGGCGGGGAAACCUGUCAACCAGCAAUGGCCGUCGGCGAGGUGCUGCAUGGUUGUCGUCAGCUCGUGCCGUGAGGUGUCGGGUUAAGUCCCAUAACGAGCGCAACCCCCACUGCCAGUUACCAGCAUGUAAAGAUGGGGACUCUGGCGGAACUGCCGGCGUAAGCCGCGAGGAGGGCGGGGAUGACGUCAAAUCAGCACGGCCCUUACGUCCGGGGCGACACACGUGUUACAAUGGCCGGUACAGAGGGCAGCCACCCCGCGAGGGGGCGCGAAUCCCGAAAGCCGGUCGUAGUUCGGAUCGGGGGCUGAAACCCGCCCCCGUGAAGCUAGAUUCGCUAGAAU